rnacentral:rRNA from 1 species
GUACACUCCUGCGGGAGGCAGCAGUGGGGAAUUUUACGCAAUGGGGGAAACCCUGACGUAGCGACACCGCGUGAGCGAAGAAGCCCUUUGGGGUGUAAAGCUCUGUCAGCUGGAACGAAAACAAUGACGGUACCAGCAGAGGAAGCAUCGGCUAACUACGUGCCAGCAGCCGCGGUAAGACGUAGGAUGCGAGCGUUGUCCGGAUUUAUUGGGCGUAAAGAGUUCGUAGGUGGUUUGUUAAGUUUGGUGUUAAAGAUCGGGGCUCAACCCUGGGACUGCACUGAAUACUGGCAGACUCGAGUGUGGUAGAGGCUAGUGGAAUUCCCAGUGUAGCGGUGAAAUGCGUAGAUAUUGGGAAGAACACCGGUGGCGUAGGCGACUAGCUGGGCCAUAACUGACGCUGAGGAACGAAAGCCAGGGGAGCGAAUGGGAUUAGAAACCCCAGUAGUCCCAUGAU